rnacentral:rRNA from 1 species
AAGUCGGGAGUGAAAGCCCGGGGCUCAACCCCGGAACUGCCUUCGAUACUGGCAAUCUAGAGUCCGGAAGAGGUGAGUGGAAGUCCGAGUGUAGAGGUGAAAUUCGUAGAUAUUCGGAGGAACACCAGUGGCGAAGGCGGCUCACUGGUCCGGUACUGACGCUGAGGUGCGAAAGCGUGGGGAGCAAACAGG